GGAUUGUAGUCUGCAACCCGACUACAUGAAGCUGGAAUCGCUAGUAAUCGCGGAUCAGAAUGCCGCGGUGAAUACGUUCCCGGGUCUUGUACACACCGCCCGUCACACCAUGGGAGUCGGAAAUGCCCGAAGUCUGUGACCCAACCUACGGGAGGGAGCAGCCGAAGGCAGGUCGGAUGACUGGGGUGAAGUCGUAACAAGGUACC
rnacentral:rRNA from 1 species